rnacentral:rRNA from 1 species
UACGUAGAGUGCAAGCGUUGUCCGGAAUUAUUGGGCGUAAAGGGUACGUAGGCGGAUAGUAAAGUCAAGCGUGAAAGGUGUCGGCUUAACCGACAGACUGCGUUUGAAACUGAUUAUCUUGAGUGUAACAGAGGAGAGUGGAAUUCCUAGUGGUAGUGGUGAAAUACGUAGAUAUUAGGAAGAACACCAGUGGCGAAGGGCGAACUCGUCCUGGGUUAACACUGACGCUGAGGUACGAAAGCUGGGGGGAGCGAACGGGAUUAGAUACCCCCGUACGUCC